GUGGGGAAUCUUAGACAAUGGGGGAAACCCUGAUCUAGCCAUGCCGCGUGAUCGAUGAAGGCCUUAGGGUUGUAAAGAUCUUUCAGUGGGGAAGAUAAUGACGGUACCCACAGAAGAAGCCCCGGCUAACUCCGUGCCAGCAGCCGCGGUAAUACGGAGGGGGCUAGCGUUGUUCGGAAUUACUGGGCGUAAAGCGCACGUAGGCGGAUCAGAAAGUCAGAGGUGAAAUCCCAGGGCUCAACCUUGGAACUGCCUUUGAAACUCCUGAUCUUGAGGUCGAGAGAGGUGAGUGGAAUUCCGAGUGUAGAGGUGAAAUUCGUAGAUAUUCGGAGGAACACCAGUGGCGAAGGCGGCUCACUGGCUCGAUACUGACGCUGAGGUGCGAAAGCGUGGGGAGCAAACAGGAUUAGAUACCCUAGUAGUCC
rnacentral:rRNA from 1 species